CAGGCCUAACACAUGCAAGUCGAGCGGAUGACGGGAGCUUGCUCCUUGAUUCAGCGGCGGACGGGUGAGUAAUGCCUAGGAAUCUGCCUGGUAGUGGGGGACAACGUUUCGAAAGGAACGCUAAUACCGCAUACGUCCUACGGGAGAAAGCAGGGGACCUUCGGGCCUUGCGCUAUCAGAUGAGCCUAGGUCGGAUUAGCUUGUUGGUGAGGUAAUGGCUCACCAAGGCGACGAUCCGUAACUGGUCUGAGAGGAUGAUCAGUCACACUGGAACUGAGACACGGUCCAGACUCCUACGGGAGGCAGCAGUGGGGAAUAUUGGACAAUGGGCGAAAGCCUGAUCCAGCCAUGCCGCGUGUGUGAAGAAGGUCUUCGGAUUGUAAAGCACUUUAAGUUGGGAGGAAGGGUUGUAGAUUAAUACUCUGCAAUUUUGACGUUACCGACAGAAUAAGCACCGGCUAACUCUGUGCCAGCAGCCGCGGUAAUACAGAGGGUGCAAGCGUUAAUCGGAAUUACUGGGCGUAAAGCGCGCGUAGGUGGUUUGUUAAGUUGGAUGUGAAAGCCCCGGGCUCAACCUGGGAACUGCAUCCAAAACUGGCAAGCUAGAGUACGGUAGAGGGUGGUGGAAUUUCCUGUGUAGCGGUGAAAUGCGUAGAUAUAGGAAGGAACACCAGUGGCGAAGGCGACCACCUGGACUGAUACUGACACUGAGG
rnacentral:rRNA from 1 species